AGUCCAUAAUGUGGGCAACAUCGUAAUAGGUCCUUGUACCUCUCCCAGGUGUCGUACAUCGACUCAUCGUCAAAUUGCAUAAAAGAAGAUAUGUUAUUUCUAAGUUU
rnacentral:snoRNA from 1 species